rnacentral:rRNA from 1 species
UGGCCGUAAACGAUGUGGACUUGGUGUUGGAAUGGCUCCGAGCUGCUCCAGUGCCGAAGGGAAACUGUUAAGUCCACCGCCUGGGAAGUACGGUCGCAAGACUGAAACUUAAAGGAAUUGGCGGGGGAGGCACCACAACACGUGGAGCCUGCGGUUUAAUUGGAUUCAACGCCGGACAUCUCACCAGAGGCGACAGCUGUAUGAUAGUCGGGCUGAAGACUCUACUUGAUGAUCUGAGAGGUGGUGCAUGGCGUCAGUGACU